CUAGCGUUGCUCGGAAUCACUGGGCGUAAAGGGUGCGUAGGCGGGUCUUUAAGUCAGGGGUGAAAUCCUGGAGCUCAACUCCAGAACUGCCUUUGAUACUGAAGAUCUUGAGUUCGGGAGAGGUGAGUGGAACUGCGAGUGUAGAGGUGAAAUUCGUAGAUAUUCGCAAGAACACCAGUGGCGAAGGCGGCUCACUGGCCCGAUACUGACGCUGAGGCACGAAAGCGUGGGGAGCAAACAGG
rnacentral:rRNA from 1 species